rnacentral:lncRNA from 1 species
ACAAAGACCCUCAUUCUGCCUGACACUGGAGACGGUGUCCUGAUAGAGCGAAGUCUGUGUCCUGGGACGGCCCUGUGCCAGCCAGCAAGAGAUGAUCCAUGCGUCCUGGCGUUGUCUUGGUUGUCCAGUGAUGUUGCUUCAUGAAUCAGGAUAGACUAGAGGCAACUACUGUAACCAAGAGAAGGUGCUUUUGCGAGCGCAGGUGAAACGGAGCUCUGACGAGGCUGAAUCGCACCACAAACCUUGGCCCAAGCCGCCGUUACUCAGUCAGCGCUGGACUUGCAGAACAGAUGAGCAAGCUGCCAAUUUUAUAGUCACACAGCAAGAGAGGUUUGAACUCCGCAGGAAGCAGAUGAUCCCUUUCCUCUUUAGUCCUGGAGAUGCA